rnacentral:lncRNA from 1 species
AACUCUCUCUCUUUCUGAUUGAGUGUAAGCUGCUAUAUGAAGGGAUCCACAAGACGAAUAAUUAAGGGGGACCUCUGAUCAACAGCCAGCAAGGAACUGAAUCCCUCAGACCCACAACUCACAAGAAACUGAAGCUGAAGCAGAUUCUUCCUCAGUCAAGCUUCAGGUGCCCAGCUGUAUUGGUAGAGGAGACCAACCACACCCUCCACAGCACAGCACCUGGAGAGGAACUGCUGCCAUGACCAUAGAGGACACCCUCUGGAUACAAUGCCAGACUUGAUGUGGGACUGACCAACCUAUGGACCCCAGGCACCACCACCCAGACCUGCUCAGCACCUGAAACAUUCACAGCCGUGGAGAGAGAACUGUUCACUGCUACCAUCCACACUUCUGGGCCCCUUCAGCAGCAGGGUGACAAGGAAGAGGGAAAUCGACUUGGAAAAGAGGGGACCUCUGACCCAAGAGUUCGGUCAAUGCAUAUGUUGGCAGCCAGCUGCACAUCGCACCAAAUAUGAACUUCAAAUAGAAGAAAGCCUCAUUUGGAAGAAAGCUCAUGCACAGACUGUAAAUAUUUCAGAGCAGAUUGUGUCUCUGUAGAUUAACCGGAUACAGUGGCUUGCACCUGUGGUCUCAGCGACUUGGGCGACUGAAGCAAGAAGAUCACUUGAGCCUAGGAGUUCGAGGCUACAGCAAGCUAUGACCGUGCCACUGCACUCCAGCCUGGGCGUGACAGACCAGCUCUUCUUCUGAAGGAUGACCACCUGGAAUAAGAGCAGCCCUAGGCCCCCCACCUCACUCCAGGUGGCAGAUCCACAGAGAUGGUAGCGAUACAGAAGCACAGCUUCCGAUGGCUUCCCCGUGUCUUCAGUUUGCAGCCUUAUUUCGGUGCUUGGACGUGCUUAACUUCUCAGGAUUAUAUUCUGCUUUGGAGUGCAAGGAGAAAGUCACAGUCUAGUUUUAUGAAGACCAAACUAGAGAAAAUCGAGUUAUCUUAAAGUGUAUGACAUCUCCACAAAUGAAUGUUUAUGGCUUUACACUUGGAGUGUUCUUGGAACACUCUUCAUAGCAAAUCCUCCCUCAGAAGACCCCCACCUGGCAUCAGAACAAACGUCUACCUAAUCUUCCAAACUCUGUGUAAAUCCUGGAUCCACCAUUUACCAGCUGUGUAACCCUGGACAACAAUUCCAUCUUUCUGACCUCAGUGUCUUUCUCUGCAAAACAGCGGUAAGAAUGAUCCUACUUCAAUAGAGUUGCUGUGAGGAUUCACUGAGAUCAUGUGUACCAAGCUCCUACAAUAGUACUGAACCCACAAAAGAUGACUGAGACUCAGAGUUUGUGACUUGUACAAGGCCUCACAGCUAGGAGAUGCCAACAGCUGGGUCCAAUCUCAGCUCGGAAUCUGCACUCUGUCUACAGGACUAGCGCUUUGCCCAAGGAGACCAAAAUGAAGACAUCUUGUCUCCUGGUCUUGAAAAUUAACUAAUUCACUUUUAAUGACAUCAAGUGUAAACAAUCUACCAAAUUAUUAAAACAUUAUCUUUUUGU